UAAAGGAAAAAAUGUCUGUGAUCAUCAGGUACAUGUCUCAUCCCUCCAUAAGGUAUCUUGGCCUCAGAGCAUAGUUUGUUUGUUUGUCAAACCUCUGUGUCACCCCAGUGUUUCCAGUGGAAGAUGUGAUUCCAUCCCCAUGAUGGUUAC